GGCCUACCAUGCAGUCGAACGGUAGCACAGAGAGCUUGCUCUCGGGUGACAAGUGGCGGACGGGUGAGUAAUGUCUGGGAAACUGCCUGAUGGAGGGGGAUAACUACUGGAAACGGUAGCUAAUACCGCACAACGUCGCACGACCAAAGAGGGGGACCUUCGGGCCUCUUGCCAUCACAUGUGCCCAGAUGGGAUUAUCUAGUAGGUGGGGUAACGGCUCACCUAGGCGACAAUCCCUAGCUGGUCUGAGAGGAUGACCACCCACACUGGAACUGAGACACGGUCCACACUCCUACGGGAGGCAGCAGUGGGGAAUAUUGCACAAUGGGCGCAAGCCUGAUGCACCCAUGCCGCGUGUAUGAAAAAAGCCUUCGGGUUGUAAAGUACUUUCACCGGGGAGGAAAGUGUUGUGGUUAAUAACCCCACCAAUUGACGUUACCCGCACAAAAAACACCGGCUAACUCCGUGCCAGCAGCCGCGGUAAUACGGAGGGUGCGAGCGUUAAUCGGAAUUACUGGGCGUAUAGCGCACGCACGCGGUCUGUCAAGUCUGAUGUGAAAUCUCCGGGCUCAACCUGGGAACUGCAUUCUAAACUGGCAGGCUGGAGUCUCGUAUAGGGGGGUAUAAUUCUACGUGUAUCGGUGAAAUGCGUAUAGAUCUGGAGGAAUACCGGUGGCGAAAGCGGCCCCCUGGACAAAGACUGACGCUCACGUGCGAAAGCGUGUGGAGCAAACAGGAUUAUAUACCCUGGUAUUCCCGCCGUAAACGAU
rnacentral:rRNA from 1 species